rnacentral:pre_miRNA from 1 species
UAACCUCUACAGGCUGGCCAACCCCCAGUCUGGGCUGGGCGAGUAUCUCUUCUGGAAGCCUCACCCUCAAGCACCACUAGGAGC